AGCUACUUAGCUAAAAAAUGUUUAUCGGAAGAAGCAAAAGUGGAUGGCGUGGUGGCAGUAAGAUGGUAUCGAUAUGAUCUAGUCUCAAUUAAGUUAGUCACAGACGAAAAAUAAAACCUGUAAACAAUUUCUCUCUAUAUUUACUUGUUCAAGUGCCAGUGAAACGAACGAUAGAAAAAAAGAAGAAUUCAGUAGGCUUGCAAUUUUUUUUUUUAAUAUAUUUUUAAAUGAUCUGAAUAACUUUGUUGUUUUUAUUUAGUUGAAUGAUGAAAUUGUUUAGGCGGAGAUGUAUUUGAUUCAUGGGGUUAGGGGAGGGUGGCAUUUCUUAGUUAACUUCAAAUAAAAAACGGCUAAAAUGAAUCAUCGUUUUAAUCACACGCGAAUCAAAUACACAUACGCCAUUGUUUAUACAAAAUAUUGGCUCUUCAACUUUUAUGUUAAAUAUGUUAUUUCCUUGUUAACUGUUAUCUGUCAUUAAUAAAGCAACUAGAAAAAUACACAUAAUGACAACAGAUUUUUUUUUAGAAAUGUUCGCAAAGUUUUUGGUUUAGAUACAAAAAACCAAGUGAAAAUGAUACUAGAAAGAUGCACUUUCUUAUAUCUAAACAUCAUUGCAGCUUUCUAGUCUUCAUUUUUGUUUAUGUGUAUUUCAUCUGUGUUGCUAAUGAUAUUGCCAGUUUUUAUGAUUUUAUGUUGUUAAGCAAAGCAUCCUUAUGUUUCAGGCUAAAAUAGAGCUUUGACUAAUACUUUUUUCUAGUUUAAAUGAAUAACAACUCUCAAGGUGUAUUAGCUGAAUGAUCUUUUCGUUUUGAUAGUUUUUAGCCAAUAACGGAUUUUUAAAUUGUUAUGAGUCUACAACAAUUUCAGCGAAAUUCAAUAAAAAAAUCAUGUUAUAGAAAACAGAAAAAUAUCAAUAUAUGUUUUUUCAAUAACUUGGCUUUCAUAGCAAUUCUGAGAGGUGCAAAUGUUUAGCUUGAUUUAAGUACUACAUAAUCGUUGUACAGCCAUUUUGAUGAUUGUAAAUUUAUUUAGCACACUAAUUUAUAUAUAUCUUCAGACUGUUUACCGUUUGACUCUUGUCUUAAUCUAACCUUGUGGAUUCAAAAAGAAGGGACAGCGCUGGAAACCUGAAUGGAUUAAAAGGAUCAGCCCUUUUUGAAUUAAUAGUCGAAGUGGUAACCAGCUAGAAGUAACCUGCUCGUAUGAAAGGAUUUUCUCGACGUGAAAUUGUUAAUUUUAUUCAAUAACGCCAAGAAACAGAGCUCGCUCAAGAAACAGAAAAGAAAGAGAAAGAUAAAAAAAUAUUCUGUUGAA